UACUGAGGGAGCUAGCGUUGUUCGGAAUUACUGGGCGUAAAGCGCACGUAGGCGGCUUUGUAAGUCAGAGGUGAAAGCCUGGAGCUCAACUCCAGAACUGCCUUUGAGACUGCGUCGCUCGAAUCCGGGAGAGGCGGGUGGAAUUCCGAGUGUAGAGGUGAAAUUCGUAGAUAUUCGGAAGAACACCAGUGGCGAAGGCGGCCCGCUGGACCGGCAUUGACGCUGAUGGACGAAAGCGUGGGUAGCGAACAGG
rnacentral:rRNA from 1 species